rnacentral:rRNA from 1 species
UACAGAGGUCUCAAGCGUUGUUCGGAUUCAUUGGGCGUAAAGGGCGCGUAGGCGGCACGGCAAGUCAGGAGUGAAAGCCCUGGGCUCAACCCGGGAACUGCUUUUGAAACUGCCGAGCUAGAGUGCGGAAGGGGCAACUGGAAUUCCCAGUGUAGCGGUGAAAUGCGUAGAUAUUGGGAAGAACACCUGAGGCGAAGGCGGGUUGCUGGGCCGACACUGACGCUGAGGCGCGAAAGCCAGGGGAGCGAACGGG